AUUGAACGCUGGCGGCAUGCCUUACACAUGCAAGUCGAACGGCAGCACGGGAGCAAUCCUGGUGGCGAGUGGCGAACGGGUGAGUAAUAUAUCGGAACGUGCCCAGUCGUGGGGGAUAACGUAGCGAAAGCUACGCUAAUACCGCAUACGAUCUAUGGAUGAAAGCGGGGGAUCGCAAGACCUCGCGCGAUUGGAGCGGCCGAUAUCAGAUUAGGUAGUUGGUGAGGUAAAGGCUCACCAAGCCGACGAUCUGUAGCUGGUCUGAGAGGACGACCAGCCACACUGGGACUGAGACACGGCCCAGGCUCCUACGGGAGGCAGCAGUGGGGAAUUUUGGACAAUGGGCGCAAGCCUGAUCCAGCAAUGCCGCGUGCAGGAUGAAGGCCUCGG
rnacentral:rRNA from 1 species